rnacentral:rRNA from 1 species
UACAGAGGGGGCAAGCGUUGUCCGGAAUUAUUGGGCGUAAAGAGCGUGUAGGCGGUCCGGUAAGUCAGCUGUGAAAGUCAAGGGCUCAACCCUUGAAUGCCGGUUGAUACUGUCGGGCUAGAGUCCGGAAGAGGCGAGUGGAAUUCCCGGUGUAGCGGUGAAAUGCGCAGAUAUCGGGAGGAACACCAAUGGCGAAGGCAGCUCGCUGGGACGGUACUGACGCUGAGACGCGAAAGCGUGGGGAGCAAACAGG